GUGACAGAAGAGAGUGAGCACUGAUGGCGUUUUCUUGCAAGAAACGUGUUUGUCGUGCUUGAAGCUAUUUGUGCUCACUGCUCUUUCUGUCAC
rnacentral:pre_miRNA from 1 species